GGUGAGUAAUGUCUGGGAAACUGCCUGAUGGAGGGGGAUAACUACUGGAAACGGUAGCUAAUACCGCAUAACGUCGCAAGACCAAAGAGGGGGACCUUCGGGCCUCUUGCCAUCGGAUGUGCCCAGAUGGGAUUAGCUAGUAGGUGGGGUAACGGCUCACCUAGGCGACGAUCCCUAGCUGGUCUGAGAGGAUGACCAGCCACACUGGAACUGAGACACGGUCCAGACUCCUACGGGAGGCAGCAGUGGGGAAUAUUGCACAAUGGGCGCAAGCCUGAUGCAGCCAUGCCGCGUGUAUGAAGAAGGCCUUCGGGUUGUAAAGUACUUUCAGCGGGGAGGAAGGGAGUAAAGUUAAUACCUUUGCUCAUUGACGUUACCCGCAGAAGAAGCACCGGCUAACUCCGUGCCAGCAGCCGCGGUAAUACGGAGGGUGCAAGCGUUAAUCGGAAUUACUGGGCGUAAAGCGCACGCAGGCGGUUUGUUAAGUCAGAUGUGAAAUCCCCGGGCUCAACCUGGGAACUGCAUCUGAUACUGGCAAGCUUGAGUCUCGUAGAGGGGGGUAGAAUUCCAGGUGUAGCGGUGAAAUGCGUAGAGAUCUGGAGGAAUACCGGUGGCGAAGGCGGCCCCCUGGACGAAGACUGACGCUCAGGUGCGAAAGCGUGG
rnacentral:rRNA from 1 species